AAUGAGGCGAACCGGGGGAACUGAAACAUCUAAGUACCCCGAGGAAAAGAAAUCAACCGAGAUUCCCCCAGUAGCGGCGAGCGAACGGGGAGCAGCCCAGAGCCUGAAUCAGUGUGUGUGUUAGUGGAAGCGUCUGGAAAGGCGUGCGAUACAGGGUGACAGCCCCGUACACAAAAAUGCACAUAUUGUGAGCUCGAUGAGUAGGGCGGGACACGUGGUAUCCUGUCUGAAUAUGGGGGGACCAUCCUCCAAGGCUAAAUACUCCUGACUGACCGAUAGUGAACCAGUACCGUGAGGGAAAGGCGAAAAGAACCCCGGCGAGGGGAGUGAAAAAGAACCUGAAACCGUGUACGUACAAGCAGUGGGAGCACGCUUAGGCGUGUGACUGCGUACCUUUUGUAUAAUGGGUCAGCGACUUAUAUUCUGUAGCAAGGUUAACCGAAUAGGGGAGCCGAAGGGAAACCGAGUCUUAACUGGGCGUUAAGUUGCAGGGUAUAGACCCGAAACCCGGUGAUCUAGCCAUGGGCAGGUUGAAGGUUGGGUAACACUAACUGGAGGACCGAACCGACUAAUGUUGAAAAAUUAGCGGAUGACUUGUGGCUGGGGGUGAAAGGCCAAUCAAACCGGGAGAUAGCUGGUUCUCCCCGAAAGCUAUUUAGGUAGCGCCUCGUGAAUUCAUCUCCGGGGGUAGAGCACUGUUUCGGCAAGGGGGUCAUCCCGACUUACCAACCCGAUGCAAACUGCGAAUACCGGAGAAUGUUAUCACGGGAGACACACGGCGGGUGCUAACGUCCGUCGUGAAGAGGGAAACAACCCAGACCGCCAGCUAAGGUCCCAAAGUCAUGGUUAAGUGGGAAACGAUGUGGGAAGGCCCAGACAGCCAGGAUGUUGGCUUAGAAGCAGCCAUCAUUUAAAGAAAGCGUAAUAGCUCACUGGUCGAGUCGGCCUGCGCGGAAGAUGUAACGGGGCUAAACCAUGCACCGAAGCUGCGGCAGCGACGCUUAUGCGUUGUUGGGUAGGGGAGCGUUCUGUAAGCCUGUGAAGGUGUACUGUGAGGUAUGCUGGAGGUAUCAGAAGUGCGAAUGCUGACAUAAGUAACGAUAAAGCGGGUGAAAAGCCCGCUCGCCGGAAGACCAAGGGUUCCUGUCCAACGUUAAUCGGGGCAGGGUGAGUCGACCCCUAAGGCGAGGCCGAAAGGCGUAGUCGAUGGGAAACAGGUUAAUAUUCCUGUACUUGGUGUUACUGCGAAGGGGGGACGGAGAAGGCUAUGUUGGCCGGGCGACGGUUGUCCCGGUUUAAGCGUGUAGGCUGGUUUUCCAGGCAAAUCCGGAAAAUCAAGGCUGAGGCGUGAUGACGAGGCACUACGGUGCUGAAGCAACAAAUGCCCUGCUUCCAGGAAAAGCCUCUAAGCAUCAGGUAACAUCAAAUCGUACCCCAAACCGACACAGGUGGUCAGGUAGAGAAUACCAAGGCGCUUGAGAGAACUCGGGUGAAGGAACUAGGCAAAAUGGUGCCGUAACUUCGGGAGAAGGCACGCUGAUAUGUAGGUGAAGUCCCUCGCGGAUGGAGCUGAAAUCAGUCGAAGAUACCAGCUGGCUGCAACUGUUUAUUAAAAACACAGCACUGUGCAAACACGAAAGUGGACGUAUACGGUGUGACGCCUGCCCGGUGCCGGAAGGUUAAUUGAUGGGGUUAGCGCAAGCGAAGCUCUUGAUCGAAGCCCCGGUAAACGGCGGCCGUAACUAUAACGGUCCUAAGGUAGCGAAAUUCCUUGUCGGGUAAGUUCCGACCUGCACGAAUGGCGUAAUGAUGGCCAGGCUGUCUCCACCCGAGACUCAGUGAAAUUGAACUCGCUGUGAAGAUGCAGUGUACCCGCGGCAAGACGGAAAGACCCCGUGAACCUUUACUAUAGCUUGACACUGAACAUUGAGCCUUGAUGUGUAGGAUAGGUGGGAGGCUUUGAAGUGUGGACGCCAGUCUGCAUGGAGCCGACCUUGAAAUACCACCCUUUAAUGUUUGAUGUUCUAACGUUGACCCGUAAUCCGGGUUGCGGACAGUGUCUGGUGGGUAGUUUGACUGGGGCGGUCUCCUCCUAAAGAGUAACGGAGGAGCACGAAGGUUGGCUAAUCCUGGUCGGACAUCAGGAGGUUAGUGCAAUGGCAUAAGCCAGCUUGACUGCGAGCGUGACGGCGCGAGCAGGUGCGAAAGCAGGUCAUAGUGAUCCGGUGGUUCUGAAUGGAAGGGCCAUCGCUCAACGGAUAAAAGGUACUCCGGGGAUAACAGGCUGAUACCGCCCAAGAGUUCAUAUCGACGGCGGUGUUUGGCACCUCGAUGUCGGCUCAUCACAUCCUGGGGCUGAAGUAGGUCCCAAGGGUAUGGCUGUUCGCCAUUUAAAGUGGUACGCGAGCUGGGUUUAGAACGUCGUGAGACAGUUCGGUCCCUAUCUGCCGUGGGCGCUGGAGAACUGAGGGGGGCUGCUCCUAGUACGAGAGGACCGGAGUGGACGCAUCACUGGUGUUCGGGUUGUCAUGCCAAUGGCACUGCCCGGUAGCUAAAUGCGGAAGAGAUAAGUGCUGAAAGCAUCUAAGCACGAAACUUGCCCCGAGAUGAGUUCUCCCUGACUCCUUGAGAGUCCUGAAGGAACGUUGAAGACGACGACGUUGAUAGGCCGGGUGUGUAAGCGCAGCGAUGCGUUGAGCUAACCGGUA
rnacentral:rRNA from 1 species